GGAGUUAGCCGGUGCUUCUUCUGCGAGUAACGUCACAGAUGUAAGGUAUUAACUUACACCCUUUCCUCCUCGCUGAAAGUGCUUUACAACCCGAAGGCCUUCUUCACACACGCGGCAUGGCUGCAUCAGGGUUUCCCCCAUUGUGCAAUAUUCCCCACUGCUGCCUCCCGUAGGAGUCUGGGCCGUGUCUCAGUCCCAAUGUGGC
rnacentral:rRNA from 1 species